CUACCAAAAUUUCUGCAGCUGUUGAUAUUGUCCCGAGUGUGGGCUCCAGGUGUGCAGCACAAAGUCACACGUCAAGGCAAGAUGUUUCUAUUGGUAAUUCCACUGUGUGCAAAGAGAAUAUUUUUUGGAUGUUGACAGAGCCAAAAAAAGCUUAAGGAAAUUCCAAGGCACUCAACCCAUUUCUAAGAUAAGUAGUGCUUAUCCUAAGUCAAGGACUCUUCAGCAUCUUGUGCUCUGUCAGGGAGGAGCUGCACAAAAAGAUGGGAAGGAGCACAGCCAGAACAGGUGACACAAACAGGCCAAAG